GCUUGUCUCAAAGAUUAAGCCAUGCAUGUCUAAGUACAAGCCUCAGUAAGGUGAAACCGCGAAUGGCUCAUUAAAUCACACCUAAUCUACUGGAAAGUUACUAGUUACUUGGAUAACUGAGGUAAUUCUUGAGCUAAUACAUGCCAAUUAUGCCUCGGCUUUAUUGCUGAGGCGGGUUUAUUAGAUCAAAACCAAUCAGUCUUCGGACUGGCGUUUUGAUGACUCUGGAUAACCAACCUAAUCGCAUGACCUUGCGUCGGCGAUGUAUCUUCCAAGUAUCUGACCUAUCAUCUGUCGAUGGUGAGUGAUAUGCUCACCAUGGAGAUAACGGGUAACGGGGAAUCAGUGUUCGAUUCCGGAGAGGGAGCCUUAGAAACGGCUACCACAUCUAAGGAAGGCAGCAGG
rnacentral:rRNA from 1 species